rnacentral:rRNA from 1 species
UACGAAGGGGACUAGCGUUGUUCGGAAUUACUGGGCGUAAAGCGCACGUAGGCGGAUUUGUAAGUCAGGGGUGAAAUCCCCGGGCUCAACCCGGGAACUGCGUCCGAUACUGGCAGGCUUGAAUCCGGGAGAGGGAUGUGGAAUUCCAGGUGUAGCGGUGAAAUGCGUAGAUAUCUGGAGGAACACCGGUGGCGAAGGCGGCAUCCUGGACCGGUAUUGACGCUGAGGCGCGAAAGCCAGGGGAGCAAACGGG